rnacentral:rRNA from 1 species
AUUGAACGCUAGCGGGAUGCUUUACACAUGCAAGUCGAACGGCAGCGCGGACUUCGGUCUGGCGGCGAGUGGCGAACGGGUGAGUAAUGUAUCGGAACGUGCCCAGUAGCGGGGGAUAACUACGCGAAAGCGUAGCUAAUACCGCAUACGCCCUACGGGGGAAAGCAGGGGAUCGUAAGACCUUGCACAAUUGGAGCGGCCGAUAUCGGAUUAGCUAGUUGGUGAGGUAACGGCUCACCAAGGCGACGAUCCGUAGCUGGUUUGAGAGGACGACCAGCCACACUGGGACUGAGACACGGCCCAGACUCCUACGGGAGGCAGCAGUGGGGAAUUUUGGACAAUGGGGGCAACCCUGAUCCAGCCAUCCCGCGUGUGCGAUGAAGGCCUUCGGGUUGUAAAGCACUUUUGGCAGGAAAGAAACGUCGCGGGCUAAUACCCCGUGGAACUGACGGUACCUGCAGAAUAAGCACCGGCUAACUACGUG